AAGGGAGGAAGAUGGAAUGGGAGCUGGGGAUGGGGAGGGGGGAGAGGGAGAGAUGCCCACUUGCCCCAGUCUCUCAGCCUGAGUGACACAGCCUCUAAAUUUGCUGUAUCAGGCCUUCUGGGACUUUCUCCUGGAAAAAUACUUCCAUUCCCACCAACAUUUAUAAAAACGAGACUGUUCCCAUCCCCCUCCUGAUUCCAUCAUAUAAGGGACAAAACCCAGGAUCUCAGGUGGGGCUUCCAGGAGCUCCACACUUGCCAUGUGGAUCCCCCAGGCCCGUGUCCAGGGGACACCUGCAUACUCCCCUUCCCAUCGCCUUCCCAACUGGAUGAAGGGCCGCCCCCACCUUGGGGGCUCUUCCACAUGGCCCCAGGCAGAGUCGGGGCCUUUGUGAUUCUUUUGCCGAACCACUUGUCACCUCUUUCGAACCACUUGGAAUUUCCCCACCACUGGGAAUGAAUGAGAGAGGCAGGCAGGCAGGUGUUCCCUUGAGGGGCCCGGGCUGAUGUUUGCACACCCGUGUUCACAGCGGUGAUUCACAAGAGCUAGAACACGGAAGCAAGGCGGGUGUCCAUCAUCGGAUGAGGGUCUGUCCAUGCAGUGGGUUAUCAUGCAGCCUCAGACAAGAAGGACGUCCUGACACCUGCUGCAGCGCGGACGGACCUGGAGGAGGAGCCAGCCAGUCACCAGAGGACAAGCGGUGUAGGAUUCCAUUGAGAACUUUUGGAAAACACAGAAGAGCCUAGAGAGGAAAAGAAACACGAUUUUAAAGCUCACGAGCCAAGGGGCCGUGGCCACUGAAGAUGGUUUUCUUCAAACAUCACGAGUGUCCGCUUCCGUGUGGAUUGAGCGUGACACCUGCAGCUGGUCCCGGCCUCUGACGGCACCGUGGCCUCCAGGAGGACUCAGGUCUGGAACCCCCCAAGCGUGUUUC